CCUACGGGAGGCAGCAGUGAGGGAUAUUGGACAAUGGGGGAAACCCUGAACCAGCAACGCCGCGUGAGGGAAGACGGCUUUCGGAUUGUAAACCUCUGUUCUAUGUGAGGAUAAUGAUGGUAGCAGAGGAGGAAGCUUCGGCUAACUACGUGCCAGCAGCCGCGGUAAUACGUAGGGAGCAAGCGUUGUCCGGAUUGACUGGGUGUAAAGGGUGCGUAGGCGGCCCUGCAAGUCAGAAGUGAAAUCCAUGGGCUUAACCCGUACACUGCUUUUGAAACUGUAGGGCUUGAGUGAAGUAGAGGCAGGCGGAAUUCCCGGUGUAGCGGUGAAAUGCGUAGAGAUCGGGAGGAACACCAGUGGCGAAGGCAGCCUGCUGGGCUUGAACUGACGCUGAGGCACGAAAGCGUAGGUAGCAAACAGGAUUAGAUACCCUUGUAGUC
rnacentral:rRNA from 1 species